AUUGAACGCUGGCGGCAGGCCUAACACAUGCAAGUCGAGCGAGCGGCGGACGGGUGCGUAAUGUCUGGGAAACUGCCUGAUGGAGGGGGAUAACUACUGGAAACGGUAGCGAAUACCGCAUACCAUCAGAUGUGCCCAGAGGGGAGUAGCUAGUAGGUGGGGGAACGGCCCACCUAGGCGACGAUCCCUAGCUGGUCUGAGAGGAUGACCAGCCACACUGGAAAGGAGACACGGUCCAGACUCCUACGGGAGGCAGCAGUGGGGAAUAUUGCCUAAUGGGCGCAAGCCUGAUGCAGCCAUGCCGCGUGUGUGAAGAAGGCCUUCGGGUUGUAAAGUACUUUCAGCGGGGAGGCGUUACCCGCAGAAGAAGCACCGGCUAACUCCGUGCCAGCAGCCGCGGUAAUUC
rnacentral:rRNA from 1 species